GUUUCAGAAGCUAAGAAAGAACUCGCUCUCCGCAGUGCUCUGACAGCCUACUGGGAACAUCUCUCACGAAGGCCUGUGAAAUGCAGUUUAUUCCCAGCCCAGAUCUAGCUGAAUUAGAACUUAUGCUCCGACGUGUCCUACAUUGCCCUAGAGAUGCAAGUCACAAAGACCUGCCUUGUUUAUUCAAGGGGAGACAGGCCACAAAGCGUCUUGCUUCCAGCUCUUUCCAAGGUGGGAAAGAACUCGCUUUCCCCUGGGCUCCUACAGCCUACCGGGAACCUCUAAUACAAAGUACUGAAAUGCAGUUUGUUUCCAGCCCUGAUCUCGCCCCGUUGGAUCUUCUGUUCCAAGCUGUGUUCUACAUUGCUCUAGAGGUGGAAGCCUCAAAGCGCUGAUUCAUUGCCUCCAGAGGAGACAAGCCACAAACGGUCUUGCUUCCACGUCUCAGAAGCUAAGAAACAAGUGCUUCUCCAUAGUGCUCUUACAGCCUACUGGGAACAUCUCUCACAAAGGUCUGUGAAACGCAGUUUCUUCCCAGCCCUGAUCUCGCUGAAGUAGAACUUCUGCUCUGCCGUGUCCUACAUUGCAUUAGAGGUGAAAGGCACAAAAACCUGUCUUGAUUCCUCAACAGGAGGCAGGCCACAAUUCGUCUUGCUUCCAGCUCUUGGGGAAGCUAAGAAACAACUCGCUCUCCACAGAGCUCCUACAGCCUACCGGGAACAUCUCUUACAAAGGCCUGUGAAGCCCAGUUUCUUGCCAGCCCUGAUCUCGCUGAAGUAGAACUUCUGCUCUGCCGUGUCAUACAUUUCCCUAGAGGUGGAAGUCACAAUGGCCUGCCUGACUUCCUUAAGAGGAGUCAGGCCACAGAUCAGCUUCCUUCCAGCUCUUUGGCAAGGUGAGAAAGAACUCGGUUUCCACAGGGCUCCUACAGCCUACUGGGAACCUCUCAUAAAAAGGCCUGAAAUGCAGUUUUUUUCCAGUCAUGAUCACACCACCUUGGAAGUUCUGCUGUAAGGCAUGACCCACAUUUCUCUAGAGGUGG
rnacentral:lncRNA from 1 species